AGUGAACGCUGGCGGUAGGCCUAACACAUGCAAGUCGAACGGCAGCACAGUAAGAGCUUGCUCUUACGGGUGGCGAGUGGCGGACGGGUGAGGAAUACAUCGGAAUCUACUUUUUCGUGGGGGAUAACGUAGGGAAACUUACGCUAAUACCGCAUACGACCUACGGGUGAAAGCAGGGGAUCUUCGGACCUUGCGCGAUUGAAUGAGCCGAUGUCGGAUUAGCUAGUUGGCGGGGUAAAGGCCCACCAAGGCGACGAUCCGUAGCUGGUCUGAGAGGAUGAUCAGCCACACUGGAACUGAGACACGGUCCAGACUCCUACGGGAGGCAGCAGUGGGGAAUAUUGGACAAUGGGCGCAAGCCUGAUCCAGCCAUACCGCGUGGGUGAAGAAGGCCUUCGGGUUGUAAGGUCCUUUUGUUGGGAAAGAAAAGCAGCAGGUUAAUACCCCGCUGUUCUGACGGUACCCAAAGAAUAAGCACCGGCUAACUUCGUG
rnacentral:rRNA from 1 species